AAAUCUGAAAUCAUGAACAAUCGUCAGUUCUUUACAGUCUGAUUUUCAAGGGGACAUAAUGCUCAAACGAGCUUCUCAGGGAGCCACGUGAGGAGGGAGAGACCGGCCCUGGAGGACCCGCAGGCUCACCGCCCCGUGGUGUGGACACUGUGCCUUUCUGCGGACAGAAAGGCCACUCACAGAUUGCACGAUUGCAACCAAGUGCCACAGCCUUUAAAAACAGUCAAGGAAUCGUAAUCCCCAAGAAACAACGGUCUCAGCUACUGUCCAGAAUUUCCAUGGUGCAGAGCAGGACGGGGCAUCUCAGUUGGAGCCCUGCUGACUCCCUAAAUUGAAGAGAGAAAGCUGAGAGCCCAGGGAGGCCACAGUGGCUGGAGUUUGCAGAACAGAGUCCUGCAGAACAGAGUCCGGCAGAGGAGAGAGCUUGGUAGAGAAUGCUGGAGGAUGGCCACAUGCCUAGCAGUUUUCAGCAGAGCAGUGGUGAUCACGUGUACAUGGAGACUAAUUAUGGCCGGGAAAUGACAAGUGAGGUGAAAGUCAUAACAAUAAAUUGAAGCACGCGGAGAGCGCUCUGUUACCUGCCACGGGAGGUCCUGUAGAUCCG
rnacentral:lncRNA from 1 species